rnacentral:rRNA from 1 species
GCAGUAGCCGCGGUAAUACAGAGGGUGCGAGCGUUAAUCGGAUUUACUGGGCGUAAAGCGUGCGUAGGCGGCUUCUUAAGUCGGAUGUGAAAUCCCUGAGCUUAACUUAGGAAUUGCAUUCGAUACUGGGAAUCUAGAGUAUGGGAGAGGAUGGUAGAAUUCCAGGUGUAGCGGUGAAAUGCGUAGAGAUCUGGAGGAAUACCGAUGGCGAAGGCAGCCAUCUGGCCUAAUACUGACGCUGAGGUACGAAAUCAUGGGGAGCAAACAGGAUUAGAUACCCCUGUAGUCCCUGUCUCUUAUAC